AUUGAACGCUGGCGGCAGGCUUAACACAUGCAAGUCGAGCGGGGUGAUGGUGCUUGCACUAUCACUUAGCGGCGGACGGGUGAGUAAUGCUUAGGAAUCUGCCUAUUAGUGGGGGACAACAUCUCGAAAGGGAUGCUAAUACCGCAUACGUCCUACGGGAGAAAGCAGGGGAUCACUUGUGACCUUGCGCUAAUAGAUGAGCCUAAGUCGGAUUAGCUAGUUGGUGGGGUAAAGGCCUACCAAGGCGACGAUCUGUAGCGGGUCUGAGAGGGUGAUCCGCCACACGGGGACUGAGACACGGCCCAGACUCCUACGGGAGGUAGCAGUGGGGAAUAUUGGACAAUGGGGGGAACCCUGAUCCAGCCAUGCCGCGUGUGUGAAGAAGGCCUUAUGGUUGUAAAGCACUUUAAGCGAGGAGGAGGCUCUUUUGGUUAAUACCCAAGAUGAGUGGACGUUACUCGCAGAAUAAGCACCGGCUAACUCUGUGCCAGCCGCCGCCGUAA
rnacentral:rRNA from 1 species